AGCGAACGCUGGCGGCAGGCCUAACACAUGCAAGUCGAGCGCCCGGCAACGGGAGCGGCAGACGGGUGAGUAACGCGUGGGGAUCUACCCAUUGGUACGGAAUAACUCCGGGAAACUGGAACUAAUACCGUAUGAGCCCCUUCGGGGGAAAGAUUUAUCGCCAAUGGAUGAACCCGCGUCAGAUUAGCUAGUUGGUGAGGUAAAGGCUCACCAAGGCGACGAUCUGUAGCUGGU
rnacentral:rRNA from 1 species